UACGAAGGGGGCUAGCGUUGUUCGGAUUUACUGGGCGUAAAGCGCACGUAGGCGGAUUGGUCAGUUAGGGGUGAAAUCCUGGAGCUCAACUCCAGAACUGCCUUUAAUACUGCCAGUCUCGAGUCCGGAAGAGGUAAGUGGAACUCCUAGUGUAGAGGUGGAAUUCGUAGAUAUUAGGAAGAACACCAGUGGCGAAGGCGGCUUACUGGUCCGGUACUGACGCUGAGACGCGAAAGCGUGGGGAGCGAACAGG
rnacentral:rRNA from 1 species